rnacentral:rRNA from 1 species
UACGUAGGGUGCGAGCGUUGUCCGGAAUUAUUGGGCGUAAAGAUCUCGUAGGCGGUCUGUCGCGUCUGCUGUGAAAUCCCGAGGCUCAACCUCGGGCUUGCAGUGGGUACGGGCAGGCUAGAGUGCGGUAGAGGAGAAUGGAAUUCCUGGUGUAGCGGUGAAAUGCGCAGAUAUCAGGAAGAACACCCGUGGCGAAGGCGGCUCUCUGGGACGGUACUGACGCUGAGACGCGAAAGCGUGGGGAGCGAACAGG